rnacentral:rRNA from 1 species
CCUAUGGGAACCUGCGGAGGGAUCAUUACACAAUACAAUAUGAAGGCUGUCCGCAGCUGGAGUAUUUUAUUACCCUUGUCUUUUGCGCACUUGUUGUUUCCUGGGCGGGUUCGCUCGCCACCAGGACCACCAAAUAAACCUUUUUUAUGCAGUUGCAAUCAGCGUCAGUACAAACAAUGUAAAUCAUUUACAACUUUCAACAACGGAUCUCUUGGUUCUGGCAUCGAUGAAGAACGCAGCGAAAUGCGAUACGUAGUGUGAAUUGCAGAAUUCAGUGAAUCAUCGAAUCUUUGAACGCACAUUGCGCCCUUUGGUAUUCCAAAGGGCAUGCCUGUUCGAGCGUCAUUUGUACCCUCAAGCUUUGCUUGGUGUUGGGCGUUUUUGUCUUUGGUCGCCCAAAGACUCGCCUUAAAGUGAUUGGCAGCCGGCCUUUCUGGUUUCGCAGCGCAGCACAUUUUUGCGCUUGCCAUCAGCAAAACGGCAAUCCAUCAAGCCUCCUUCUCACGUUUGACCUCGGAUCAGGUAGGGAUACCCGCUGAACUUAAGCAUAUCAAAGCGGGGA